UUCAACCUCUGCAAUGGUACUGUGUGCUCAUACCAUGUUUUAACUCUUCGUUUUAUUUGAAUUUUUUUACAAUUAAUAUUUUUAUUCUUACUAGAUGAUAAAAUACGAAUAAUACUCUAUGUGUGACUAAUUUUCUAAGUUUUCGUUCAAAUUUUUCAAAUAAGACAAAUGAUCAAACGUUGGGUACGGAAAAAC
rnacentral:pre_miRNA from 1 species